GAGAGUUUGAUUAUGGCUCAGGAUGAACGCUAGCGAUAGGCUUAACACAUGCAAGUCGAGGGGCAGCAUGGUCUUAGCUUGCUAAGACUGAUGGCGACCGGCGCACGGGUGCGUAACGCGUAUGCAACUUGCCUCACAGAGGGGGAUAACCCGUCGAAAGACGGACUAAUACCGCGUACACUUGGGUUGGGGCAUCCCGAUCCAAGGAAAUGAAAUUCGCUGUGAGAUAGGCAUGCGUCCCAUUAGCUAGUUGGUGAGGUAACGGCUCACCAAGGCAACGAUGGGUAGGGGAACUGAGAGGUUGAACCCCCACACUGGUACUGAGACACGGACCAGACUCCUACGGGAGACAGCAGUGAGGAAUAUUGGUCAAUGGGCGAGAGCCUGAACCAGCCAAGUCGCGUGAAGGAUGACUGUCUUAUGGAUUGUAAACUUCUUUUGUAGGGGAAUAAAGAGGGGCACGUGUGCCUCAGUGAAUGUACCCUACGAAUAAGCAUCGGCUAACUCCGUGCCAGCAGCCGCGGUAAUACGGAGGAUGCGAGCGUUAUCCGGAUUUAUUGGGUUUAAAGGGUGCGUAGGCGGCCUGUUAAGUCAGCGGUGAAAUCUAGGAUCUUAACUCCUCAAUUGCCUUUGAAACUGGCGGGCUUGAGUGCAGAUGAGGUAAGCGGAAUGCCUGGUGUAGCGGUGGAAUGCAUAGAUAUCAGGCAGAACUCCRAUKGCGAAGGCGGCUAACUAAAGURCAACUGACGCUGAAGCGCGAAAGCGUGGGGAGCAAACGGGAUUAGAUACCCUGGUAGUCCACACUGUAAACGAUGAAUGCUAGGUGUAGGUGGUAUCGACCCCAUCUGUGCCGUCGUAAACACAUUAAGCUAUCCGCCUGGGGAGUACGGUCGCAAGAUUAAAACUCAAAGGAAUUGACGGGGGCCCGCACAAGCAGCGGAGCAUGUGGUUUAAUUCGAAGCAACGCGAAGAACCUUACCAGGUCUUGACAUCCGCUUUAGGCAUGUAGAGAUAUAUGUGGAACUUCGGUUCAAAGCGAGACAGGUGGUGCAUGGUUGUCGUCAGCUCGUGUCGUGAGAUGUUGGGUUAAGUCCCGCAACGAGCGCAACCCUUGCCAAUAGUUACUAACGGGUAGAGCUGAGGACUCUAUUGGGACUGCCGUGGACAACACGGAGGAAGGUGGGGACGACGUCAAAUCAUCAUGCCCCUUAUGACCUGGGCUACACACGUGCUACGAUGGUCGCAACAAAGAGGCGCAAAGCCGCAAGGCGGAGCAGAUCUCAAAAAAGCGAUCUCAGUUCAGAUUGUGGGCUGCAACCCGCCCACAUGAAGUCGGAGUUGCUAGUAAUCGCGAAUCAGCAUGUCGCGGUGAAUACGUUCCCGGGCCUUGUACACACCGCCCGUCACACCAUGGGAGUUGAUAGCGCCCGAAGGCAGAGAGGUAACCGCAAGGAGCCAUCUGACGAAGGCGAGAUUAAUGACUGGGGUGAAGUCGUAACAAGGUAGCCGUAUCGGAAGGUGCGGCUGGAACACCU
rnacentral:rRNA from 1 species